rnacentral:lncRNA from 1 species
AAGAUGUUCCCUGAGCAUCCAGAAGUCUUCUAAUAAAUGAGGACCUGUCCCUUGUGUCAAAUGCUGCAUAAACUUGGAAAGAACAGCGUGUCCUGCCCCACCACGACUUGCAGACAACUGAAUUUUGUUCUUUCAAAUCUAACUAAAGGAAGCAGUGGCUGCGGUGCUAUUUGUAUGCUCCUCAACAUUAGCUGAACAGUCAAAGAAACCGACAGAAUAACCGUUGUGUGGGGCAAUUGGGCUGGGCUGGACAUGUGUCCGUGUAAGCAGCUGUUUGAAGCGUGGGAAUACCAGUGCUGGCAGCCAGUUCCUCUUCACCCGCGUGUCUCCUUGGAUAACAUCCUCACAUCACAUCACAGCGGCGUUACAGGAAGGAUGCAGGAUAUCACGUCUGCAAGCGAUACUGAAUGAAUGUUUUUUCUUUUCUUCAGGACAGUUGACCAGAAGCUUAAAAGUGGGGACAGGGACAACCCUUUGUUACGUGUUUGUUCUUCAUGGAAAACAUUUAGUCAUUAAUCUUACGCAAUGCAGUUGGGAAUUUCAAGAUAAAGAAAUCAAGAGCUCCAACAUGCUUUCUUUGAGGGAUGUUUUCACAAGGUAUGCUGAAUCCCAUGACGAAAUCAUCUGUAACAAUGACGAGAAGAGCCAGAAGGGGUAGAACAGCAGUAACUUUCUGGUUCCUUUCAACUUUCUUGGGAAAUUGCAACUUAUGCCUAGAAAAGAAUGGGAUGAGUUUGAAGAAUGAUGUGAUGAUGUGAGGUAGUGCCUGUAUCUCGAUGGGUUGCAGUGUUUAAUGGGAUCCUGGCUCACAAACUAAUUUCUUUUCUCAAACAGUCUUCAUGGAAAUGCACGUGUCAGUAUGGGUCACUGCUGUCACCCUGCUUUCAUUCUAAAUAAUAAUGGAUGUUUAAGAACUGGCAGAGAUUUUUUUUUUUUAAUUAGCUCAGUCCCUCGGGCACAGCUAUAUUGCAUAUCAUAAAUUCCACAAUUCUAUUAUUUAAUGUUCUAAUGUACCUUGAUAGUACAUAUGCUGCUGUUCAUGAGGGGCUUAAAAUUUAGCUGAUUUAAUUUCUAGCCUUGGAUUUUAUUGUAGAAUAUUAAAUACAUUUUAAUUUAAUCCCCUGUAAUGAGAAUGACUGGUCACUUUUUCUGAUUUGUUAAUUUUCUGCAGGUGUAUUACCUCUGGUAGUA